UAUUUCUGCCAACAGUCCAGCCAUUGGGCUUCCUAUCGGGACCCCUCUGUUUGCUGGUAAAAUCUCUUAAAUUUGUAAUACGACAUGUGACAUAUUAUGUGGGCUACCUCUCUUAAUAGUGAUGCUCUUCUUUGGGCAUCAGGGAUGCUUUGCAAUAAGAAUUUAUAAAAGGCUACACAUGUCAGCUGCAGAUGGAGAGAGAGAUAUAGGUUCUCAAAGUCAUAUGUUAUUAUUAUAUCCUGGUGUUGUCGAUCAGUCUUGUGUAUUCUUGCUAAAGCUUUGGCCGUUAUGAUUGUUAAAUUGUCUGUCUGUCCUAAGAUGGAUGUGCACCAUUGGGCUAUGGUCUGCUCCAAGUUGUAUGUGGGAGCAUCUCUUUUUUUGACUAUUGGUCUUGAUGCUAACAGAGUCUUGUGUGUUUUAAUAUAAGCAAAGAGUUUAAGGCAUGUUGGCACAGUUACCUUCUGAUGUUUCCAUAUUGGUGGAAAGAAUUUGUGCUUGACUAUCCUAUCUACCAUAGCUGCUAGUUUUAAGGUAAGAUCCUCAGCUAUUUACUUAGGUUCAGGUUUUUGGAUGUAGUCCUCCAAAAAAUGGUCAUAAGUUGCCCUAUCCAGGAGCAUCAUCAUCUUAGUUUUAUCUUUUCUUGUGAUAGUGUAGUUUCUUUCUUUAAGCCACUCAACUGUCUCCCUUAGUAGAUGUGCGUUGUGGCAGUUAAGGGUUUUUUCUUCAUGUUUGGGUCUGCCCAUCUUUUCUCUAACGUAAGUCCACUGGCAGAGUUGAUUCUUGGAGAAAUAGAGGCUGCAGUAUUGUCGAAGUUCGAGCUAUAUUUAGUUAAGACUAUUAGGUAUGUCGACAACCUUUUCACCUUAUGGUCUAGCCAAGAAAAAGUUGACGAUUUCCAAGCAGUGCUAACCCUCAAACAGUACAGUACUACCAAAAUAAAUAACUAGCUUAUAACACCCUAAAUAACUUUUAUUAUUAAAGCUUUUCAGAUACUACUCCA
rnacentral:lncRNA from 1 species